rnacentral:rRNA from 1 species
UUGCGAGUAAAAGUCGUAACAA